rnacentral:lncRNA from 1 species
AUGGGGAGCUGGAAGAAUCACGUGCGCGCUCGACUGCAACACAGGGACCAAACUGAGAAACUGCCCUAUGUCGGGGUCUUCACUAGCUUGUCUCAGCUGGAGGAACGGUUUGAAAUUCGCAAACAAAUAUUGGAUGAUGUUCAGUCAAAGAGUGGAGAUGAAGUCGGGAAAAACACCAAACUCCUUCAACUCCAACUGAGAGAGAGUGAACACCUGGCUGAAAAGCUGUCUCAGACCGUCUCUGACCUGACCACCGUCCUGUAUCUGAAAGAGGCUGAACUGCAGUACUGGCAGUCACGUGUGUCCCACUUCCGUCAAGAGGCACUUACUCUGGCUAAAGGGAGUAACACCCUGAAGGCGACCCUUUCAGAAUUCGAGUUUACCAUAGAGUGUCAAUCCAAAGAGCUGGCAGCCGUGCGUGCGGAGCAGAAAGAACUUAAGGAAGCGUUGGGACAGGCUUGGAGAGAGAAAGAGGAACUCUUGCAACGAUGGAUGGAGGAGAAGAGGGAGGAGGCGGACAGGUUGAAUAAGUACAACGACACGCAGGAAAGGUGGCAACGUUUGGCCAAACAGCUGAAGAAGCAACUUCAUAGGGAAGUGGGAAAAGAGCAAGUUCCCAUAGUGACGAGUUCUUGGAGUGGCCCACCAGAAAUGUCUCCAUCGGUCAUUCAGAGGAUUAAUAAUACAACAGAGAUGCACCAGGGGCACACAGACCACAACCAUGUUUCAGCUGUUGAAGAAGUCUAA